GUUUACAGAGACCUGAGCACUGUGAUCCAGUCAGGACCAGAUCAUCUGAGAGGAGCCUCAUGAUGAGGGAGUCCUGUCACACCUGCACCUGGUUUAGAGCUCAGGAGGUGUGUCCAGGUGAGACUGAAAGUGAGUUGCAGGGUCUGGUCCAGGUCUGGUUCUUACUGGGAGUCUCUGGUGUCGGGCAGCUCUCUGUGGUAUCCCAGUCUGGUAGGAGAUGAGGACGUUGAAGGCGUGGCGAUGGUAACCGGUGUCCCGGACCUCCUGAUCUGCUUCGUUAAAGAUCAUCCCUGCAGACAGACACGGUGUCAGAGAGGCGGGAAAACCAGAGCAGACCCUCACACUCCACAGUAUUUCCACGCUCCCAGCAACACCUGAACACACCACGGCCUCUCACCCAUCUCCGGCGACAGCUCCACUCCCUGAUUGGCCGGCAGAGGCCGACGCCCCGCCCCCCGGUUGGCCAGGCC